rnacentral:rRNA from 1 species
CUAUGCCUACGGGGCGCAGCAGUGGGGAAUAUUGCACAAUGGGGGAAACCCUGAUGCAGCGACGCCGCGUGGGUGACGAAGUAUUUCGGUAUGUAAAGCCCUAUCAGCAGGGAAGAAGAUGGCAGUACCUGACUAAGAAGCCCCGGCUAACUACGUGCCAGCAGCCGCGGUAAUACGUAGGGGGCGAGCGUUAUCCGGAUUUACUGGGUGUAAAGGGAGCGUAGACGGCGCGGCAAGUCUGAAGUGAAAGGCAGGGGCUUAACCCCUGAACUGCUUUGGAAACUGCCAUGCUAGAGUGCUGGAGG